AAUAGAUAUACGACAAAUUGAAACUUCAAGCAUCUUUAAGACCUUUUCAAAAAUAUUCACACCUUUUAAAUUCAUCUACAAACUGCUCAAAAUCUUUUGCAAAAAUUACACAAUGACUCAUUUUCUAUUGCUCAACAACAAAACCUAAAGGACUUUUUAUACAUGUUACAACAAUAAUUAGAAAAAUAGUAAUUGAACAAAAAUAAAAAUAAAUCGUGAAUUAUGUAUGUAUGUAUGUAUGUAUGUAUGUGUGGACUUGUUAAAGCCACA
rnacentral:lncRNA from 1 species